UCCAGGGCAGCCAGGGCUACACAGAGAAAUCCUGUCUGGAAAAGGGAAACAAACAAAAUCCCAGCCUGUUGGCACCCAUCACCUCAGCAUUUGAAAGCUGUCGGUAAAAGAUUUACAUGGAUGAGCAACUGCCUAUGACAGUGUCUCCAGAAAGGUUUAACAGAGGAGAGAAGAUCCACCCUGAAUGUGUGGCAUCAUCCCACAGGCCGGGAUCACAAGCUAAAUAAGCAGAAAAGCGAGGAGCACCAACAACCAGCUCGGCUUCCUGACUGCGCCUCACUGUUGAGCAGCCGCCUCCCUCCUGCUGCCUAGCUCCUCCACCACCAUGGAUUACACCUUCAAACCGAACCAGAAAGAAACCCUCCUUCCCUCCCUCCCUCUCUUCAGCUGUUUCAUCAUGGCAAGCAGAAAAGUCAUUAACACAGGUUCCAGCAGGAAUUGUCCACACCAAGGUCUGGGCAAACUCCAGCAGGCAGAACAGAGCCUGUUGGUGUAAUGAGGGCUUUCUCUGACUGCAGCUGCAAUGCGCCCCUUUCACUCUGUCCACGGCUACUUCUGUCCUCUUACGGCAGACCCAACAGUUACAACCGUUUCUGUAGGAGCCACAAAGCUUAAAAAUAUUCAGCUGGCUCUUUACAGAAACACUGGUCAGCCUUUUGUCUACAUUAUUUAACUUAGGCUGGGCAUUGGGGGGGGGACACACAUGUAACCCCAACUACCUGGGAGGCAGAAAUGGGAACUUAAUGAGACCAUCUGGAGAUAAAACUUAAAAGGGGA